AACGCUCAGUUGCUGCCCGGCCGCCAGAGAGGACAGACGCUACUGACCGAGCUCCUGUUAGACCAAGCCUUCCCCGAGCCUGGUACCCUGAGGAGGGCUGGCCGAGCCUUCCCCGAGCCCGGUACCCCGAGGAGCUGCCUGAGCAUCCCCUCGCUCCGUGUCCUGAGGAGCAGCCUGACCGAUCCAGCGCUCAGCACCCCGAGGAGCCCAUGGUGUGGGACCCGGCGGAGGACACUAGAGAUGAGCAGGGUUUCCUGUGAUGCCUUCUAACAGCUGUUAUGUGACUUACGAGUUUCCAAUGGUUCUCACACUCCAGCAACCAGUAAGUCCUGAGGCUACAUCUAGAUGGAAAAAUGGUAAAGGUGAUCUUAUGUGACGCCGAUACAAUGUUGCACAAGGCUACAAAGGGGUUAAAGAGCUACUUUGGAUCCAGGCAGCUCUACCCUGCACACACACAAGGUAUGCAUGGACUGGAGCAUAAAAGGAG